GUUCAUCAACCUCAGCCAAAGGUGGCUGAACUUUGACCUUCAUUUUUUACAGGCUGCGAUGCUGAAACUUGGACCACUUGCAGCCCUCUUCACGUGUAACACGUCAAUAAAUUUUCAUUGCACUAGAACAACUUUUAUGAACCCUAACUAUCGCCCCCUUAACAU
rnacentral:lncRNA from 1 species